rnacentral:rRNA from 1 species
UGGGGAAUAUUGCGCAAUGGGGGAAACCCUGACGCAGCAACGCCGCGUGAGUGAUGAAGGCCCUCGGGUCGUAAAGCUCUGUCGGAGGGGAAGAAACUACCGAUGGCUAAUAUCCAUCGGUAUUGACGGUACCCUCAAAGGAAGCACCGGCUAACCACGUGCCAGCAGCCGCGGUAAUACGUGGGGUGCAAGCGUUGUUCGGAAUUACUGGGCGUAAAGCGCGUGUAGGCUGCUUUUUAUGUCAGGUGUGAAAGCCCUCGGCCUAACCGAGGAAGUGCGCCUGAAACUGAAAAGCUUGAGUACGAGAGAGGGGGACGGAAUUCCCAGUGUAGAGGUGAAAUUCGUAGAUAUUGGGAGGAACACCGGCGGCGAAAGCGGUUCCCUGGAUCGAUACUGACGCUAAGACGCGAAAGCGUGGGGAUCAAACAG